rnacentral:tRNA from 1 species
GGCGCUAUCGUCUAGUGGUUAGGACAGGCGGUUUUCAUCCGCCAAACCGGGGUUCAAUUCCCCGUAGCGCUACCA